rnacentral:rRNA from 1 species
GACGAACGCUGGCGGCGUGCUUUACACAUGCAAGUCGAGCGAUGAGAUCCCUUCGGGGAAGGAUUAGCGGCGAACGGGUGAGGAACACGUGAGGAAUCUGCCUUCAACACUGGGAUAACUCCGGGAAACCGGGGCUAAUACCGGAUAUGAAACUUGGUGGCAUCACUGAGUUUGGAAAGUUUUUCGGUAGAAGAUGACCUCGCGGCCUAUCAGCUUGUUGGUGAGGUAAUGGCUCACCAAGGCGACGACGGGUAGCCGGCCUGAGAGGGCGACCGGCCACACUGGGACUGAGACACGGCCCAGACUCCUACGGGAGGCAGCAGUGGGGAAUAUUGGGCAAUGGAGGAAACUCUGACCCAGCGACGCCGCGUGCGGGAUGAAGGCCUUCGGGUUGUAAACCGCUUUCAGUAGGGAAGAAGCGAAAGUGACGGUACCUACAGAAGAAGCACCGGCUAACUAUGUGCCAGCAGCCGCGGUAAUACAUAGGGUGCAAGCGUUGUCCGGAAUUAUUGGGCGUAAAGAGCUCGUAGGUGGUUCGUUACGUCGGAUGUGAAAAUCUGGGGCUCAACCCCAGACCUGCAUCCGAUACGGUCGAGCUAGAGUUUGGUAGGGGAGACUGGAAUUCCUGGUGUAGCGGUGGAGUGCGCAGAUAUCAGGAGGAACACCAAUGGCGAAGGCAGGUCUCUGGGCCAAUACUGACACUGAGGAGCGAAAGCGUGGGGAGCGAACAGGAUUAGAUACCCUGGUAGUCCACGCCGUAAACGGUGGGCGCUAGUUGUGGGAACCUUCCACGGUUUCUGCGACGCAGCUAACGCAUUAAGCGCCCCGCCUGGGGAGUACGAUCGCAAGAUUAAAACUCAAAGGAAUUGACGGGGCCCCGC